CCGCGAAAUAAAGCCUCUUAACAGUUGGAAGUAGGCUCUACAUCUCGACAAAGAAACAAAUUUGGUUUUUGUGGAAAAGUUACUCAGAGUCCAGCCUAAUGUAAAGCAUCUCUUUCUUCCUUUAAGAGCUCUAGAUCCAACAUCUGCUGCUCAACGUCUGCAUAGCGAGGUGUUGGGGAAGGAGGUUUUUAGUGUGUUGAGAACAAAAUAUGGUGUCGGGUUCAACUCCUUUAUCUCCGCAAAGGUAACAGCAGUUGCAGGGGAUAUUGCUUUAAAAAACUUUGGAUUAACAGAUGACUCUAAUUUGCUCAAGAAGUUGUUGAAAGAAGUUGAUGUUGUUGCCCAUUUUGCUGCAACAGCUAAGUUUGAUGAAAGGUAACUCAGACUUACAUAUCUGCC